UACGGAGGAUGCAAGCGUUAUCCGGAAUGAUUGGGCGUAAAGCGUCCGCAGGUGGCAAUGUAAGUCUGCUGUCAAAGCGUCUGGCUCAACCAGAUAAAGGCAGUGGAAACUACAUAGCUAGAGUAAGGUAGGGGUAGAGGGAAUUCCUGGUGUAGCGGUGAAAUGCGUAGAGAUCAGGAAGAACACCGGUGGCGAAGGCGGCAUCCUGGACCGGUAUUGACGCUGAUGCGCGAAAGCCAGGGGAGCAAACGGG
rnacentral:rRNA from 1 species